GGGGAUGUGGCUCAAGUAAUUGAGCACUUGCCUCGUAAGUGAAAGGCUCUGAGUUCAAACCCCAGGACCCCCA
rnacentral:tRNA from 1 species